CCGAGGCCCGACUCGAACUUGUGCGCAGAGUUGGACUCGGUCACGUAUUCCGCCUUCUCUCACGGUCUCACCCGCCCGCGCGCGCGAUGCGGCUCCUCCUCCUGACCCUCCCGAUCCCCUCGCGAUCUCUCCUCGUCCGACCUAGGGCAGGCUCUCUCCGCUGCCGCCGUUCCUCCCUCCCUCGUGAAUCGACCUAGGGAGCGGGCGUGCGCGCUGAGCCAGCGCUAGCGAUGGUGGGGAACGACUGGAUCAACAGCGACCUGGAGCCGCUGGAGACCAUCCUCGACGCGGGCGGCGCCGCUGGGGACAUCUUGGCCUCCUCAGUAGCCGGAGGCUGCGAUGGGCCGGCUGCGGCUGCUGGAGGCGCCGCCGGGUAGCCUUGGAAUUUGCUAUACCUAUAGCAGAUCGGAUGUGUUUCUGCAUAGAGAAAGAGGCUGGGGGAUAAUGCAAGGUGACCAAGAUAGGGGGGUGGGCUGGCGUACCUGGGGUAUUGAAUUGUUGCUGGCUUCGUUGUGCUGGGGGAGCUAUCUGCGAGGAAGAAGUUAAGGUCUUCUCUUGGCCUGCAAGUUGGUUACUGUUGCCUCGUUUGUGGGCUUGCUUCUGGGCUUUAUCUGAGAAGCUACCGGAGGCUGACUCUUCGAUUGAGUCUUUGUCAAUGCUCUCAAAAAAAAAAAAGAGUCUUUGUCAAUUGCAGGUGAAGCUCGGACUGGCCACUUUCUCCAUGUUAGCCUGCUGGUGCAUUUGGAAACAUCGCAACAAGUGGUCUUCGAAGGCAAAACUCCUAGUUUUUAUUUAAUACUUCAGGCGAUCAUCCGUGUGUCUGCCUGCUGGUCACAAGCAAAACUAUUUGGUAGUUCUAUUUUUGGUCAUAUUCCUGGCGUUGUUGCGAGUGGAGAGACACAGGAUGAUGUAAUUUUUUCUGUUUUUGCCCAUGGCGUGUAGCUGCAUCGCAGCAAUUUUCUCUCUACAAACGAUGAUACAUCGUAUCCUAGAAAAAAAUAUAGUUCAGUUUGUCAGGUU